UUCCCNUAUCNACGNCNGCAGCAUGGGGUAAUAUUGCACAAUGGGGGUAAACCCUGUAGUCAGCCAUGUCCGCGUGUGUGUAAGUAANGCCUUCGGGUUGUAAAGCACUUUCAGCGAGGAGGNAAAGGUCAGUAGCUAAUAUCUGCUGGCUGUGACGUUACUCGCAGAAGUAAGCACCGGCUAACUCCGUGCCAGUCAGCCGCGGUAAUACGGUAGGGUGCAAGCGUUAAUCGGUAAUUACUGGGCGUAAAGCGCACGCAGGCGGUUGGGAUAAGUUAGGAUGUGGAAAGCCCCGGGCUCAACCUGGGAAUUGCAUUUAAAACUGUCCAGCUAGGAGUCUUGUAGAGGGGGGUAGGAAUUCCAGGUGUAGCGGUGGAAAUGGCGUAGAGAUCUGGAGGGAAUACCCGGUGGNCGAAGGCGGCCCCCUGGGACAAAGACUGGACGCUCAGGUGCCGAAAGGCGUGGGGGGAGGCAAACAGGGAUUAGUAUACCCUGGGUAGUCCACGCCCGUAAACGAUGUUCGAUUUGGAGGCUGUUNC
rnacentral:rRNA from 1 species